rnacentral:rRNA from 1 species
UACGUAGGGGGCUAGCGUUGUCCGGAAUCAUUGGGCGUAAAGCGCGUGUAGGCGGUCCGGUAAGUCCGCUGUGAAAGUCGAGGGCUCAACCCUCGAAUGCCGGUGGAUACUGUCGGGCUAGAGUACGGAAGAGGCGAGUGGAAUUCCUGGUGUAGCGGUGAAAUGCGCAGAUAUCAGGAGGAACACCAAUGGCGAAGGCAGCUCGCUGGAACGGUACUGACGCUGAGGCGCGAAAGCGUGGGGAGCGAACAGG